rnacentral:rRNA from 1 species
AUUGAACGCUGGCGGCAUGCUUUACACAUGCAAGUCGAACGGUAACAGGCCGCAAGGUGCUGACGAGUGGCGAACGGGUGAGUAAUGCAUCGGAACGUGCCCAGUCGUGGGGGAUAACUGCUCGAAAGAGCAGCUAAUACCGCAUACGGUCUAUGGAUGAAAGCGGGGGACCGUAAGGCCUCGCGCGAUUGGAGCGGCCGAUGUCAGAUUAGGUAGUUGGUGGGGUAAAGGAUCACCAAGCCAACGAUCUGUAGCUGGUCUGAGAGGACGACCAGCCACACUGGGACUGAGACACGGCCCAGACUCCUACGGGAGGCAGCAGUGGGGAAUUUUGGACAAUGGGGGCAACCCUGAUCCAGCAAUGCCGCGUGCAGGAAGAAGGCCUUCGGGUUGUAAACUGCUUUUGUACGGAACGAAACGGUCUGGGUUAAUACCCUGGGCUAAUGACGGUACCGUAAGAAUAAGCACCGGCUAACUACGUGCCAGCAGCCGCCGUAAUAC